rnacentral:lncRNA from 1 species
UGAUGGUAAAUACCGAGUGUCGACUGGAUUGAAGGAUGCAAAGUAUUGAUCCUGGGUGUGUCUGUGAGGGUGUUGCCAAAGGAGGUUAACAUUUGAGUCAGUGGGCUGGGGAAGGCAGAUCCAACCUCAAUCUGGUGCGCCAUCUAAUAAGCUGCCAAUGAAUAUAAAGCAGGCAGAAAAACAUAAGAAGGUGAGACUGGCCUAGCCUCCCAGCCUGCAUCUUUCUCCCAUGCUGAAUGCUUCCUGUCCUCGAACAUCAGACUCCAAGUUCUUUAGUUUUGAGACUCGGACUGGCUUCCUUGCUCCUCAAGCUUGCAGACAGCCUAUUGUGGGACCUUGUGAUCAUGGUCUUAACUCUGUCACCCAGGCUGGAGUGCAGUGGUGUGACCACAGCCACUGCAGGCUCAACCUCUGGGACUCAGGUGAUCCUCCCAUCUCAGCCUCCCAAGUAGCUGGGACUACAGGUUGCUUCUUCCAGAUCCCUUUUGAUCUACUUUCAGCUAUGGAUUCAUGAGAAUCAAGACUAAGCAGCCUGAAUUGAAGGAGUAACAGUAUCACCUAACAAUGAUUUUGCUGCCAUAGUAGCUGUUUGUAUACUGGCCAUAUGCCUAGGUAAAAUGAGGCCAGAUCACUCUCAAGAGUUUUCUAUCAGAGUUGGUGGUGAACUACUGCUCACGGAUAAUGACGAGAAACCCCAGCUGAGGAGGCAAAUAUACUCAAGGAAAGUAAUAGUUUCCAAAUGCCUGGCAGUGCCAGGAAGGGGCCAUGUCCAUGGACCACUAUGUAAGGAUAUCUCAGUCUCUAGUCCAGCGUGGUUUAUGGUGCCAAAUAAGUGCCAGGUGAACUCACUACAUCUGACAAAAUCUCAAGGAACCAAGUUUACCAGAUAAUAUUUAUGAUUAUGUGAAAAAGACUGAGGAAAUCACUCAAGUGAUCCAUCAUACAGCACCUCCAGUUCCAAAGAAUACUGACUUACUUCAGCUGUACUGGUCUGGAGCUGCACAUUCUUUUCAGACAACUCUUGUUCCAGUAAGUUCAGGUGACUCUUCUCCUGUAACAGAGCCUCCUUCUUAGAAACUAUGGCCUCCCGUUUCUUUAAGUCUGCUUCCAGCUCCUCUAAUUCUUGGCGUUGGUUCAGAACUUUCUCUACUUCUUCAUCUAACCAUUUCUUUUGCUCAUCCAAUUUCUACAUUAAAAUUAAAAAAAAAGUUACUUGUUUUUCCUUCUGCCAUAAAAAUUAUAUGGUAAUAAUAGAAUUUCAGAUUGGCUGAAAUCUCUUAAAUGAACAUUUAAAAACUAUCACUCAGAGUAACUCAGGUAGCCGUCUGAGAUCCUAAAGACAUCAGUGGUUCUAGUCAAGAUGUAGCUAUGUUGUUUUAUAAAGAAUUAAAAUUUACUCCCCAGAUAUGUUAAACAGUCUAGGAUUUUUUAGCCUGACGAAGAAAGGGCUGAUAAUUUUCUAUGCCUAUAUUAAGAACAUGCUGGAAUCUUUUACUCUGUUGUAGUGGUGCACAGUUCCAUCACAGCACUUACACUGGUGGCUGCCCUACGUAUCUAUCUCCCCAGCUUGAGCUCCUUGAUUGAUUGCAGGGGCUGUAGUUUUUACCCGUCUAUCCACAUGGCUGGUAUAUUGCCUGGGCCACAGUAGGCAUUCAAUAAAAUGUUAAAUGAAUGAGUGAAUGAAUGCCUGAUUCAGUCAGUCAAUGAAGUGAAUAAAUGAAUACACACAGUGGAAGACACAGAUGAUGGAGGAUGGAAGGAAAGCCAAUUUGCAUUGUAGCUUGUCAACCUCAAAUAAUUAUUUUUAAAAAAGAAAAAAAACAAAAAUAAAAAAUUGCUGAAAAGAUCUCCAAAACAA